UACGGAGGGUGCGAGCGUUGUCCGGAAUCACUGGGCGUAAAGGGCGCGUAGGCGGCUCGAUAAGCGUGUGGUGAAAGCCUGGGGCUCAACCCCGGGUCGGCCAUGCGAACUGUCGAGCUGGAGCACUGUAGAGGCAGGCGGAAUUCCGGGUGUAGCGGUGGAAUGCGUAGAGAUCCGGAAGAACACCGGUGGCGAAGGCGGCCUGCUGGGCAGUAGCUGACACUGAGGCGCGACAGCGUGGGGAGCAAACAGG
rnacentral:rRNA from 1 species